rnacentral:lncRNA from 1 species
GCAUUCCCCUACACUGGAGCCUACACAGGACCAAGGGCUCCUCCUCCUAUUGAUGCCCGACAAGGCCAUCCUCUGCUACCUAUGCAGCUGGAGCCAUAGGAAUAUUUUGUUCCUCUCCUCUAAGAAGGACUGAAGCAUUCACAUUCUGAUCUUCCUUCUUGAGCUUCAUAUGGUCAGUGCUGCUCUCAACACUCGUCAGAGAAGCUUCUUUUUGCAGUGGCUCAUGGCAACGGCAGAGACUCAUAACGACUCCGAGUGCUUAGUGACUAAGUGCUUAGCCUAAUGUGGGGCUAACUCUGUCAUCUGUCAACCAGACUCCACUCGAAGCUCCUGGAAUAUCACCGGAAAGGAGGCAAAAGAGUGUAAGAACCAAAGCCUGGGGAGAAGAGCUAUGAGUUGUUUCUGAACAUGACAUGGUCAUUGCACACAUGGACUUGCAGGAACUAUAGAUACCUGCACAGAACCUGCACAGGAACAAGCCACUCAAAGUUUCGACGUGGACAGAAAAGAGGCUCCCGAGGCCCCGCCCCCAGCCGAGGAGUCACUGACAGUUGACAAGAACUGAGGGAGGGAGAGUUCUUUUUCUUUAGGGGUUUGUUUAGGCGGUAGCUUGUUCAUGCCCCAGUGGCUUGUCCCACAUCUAUGCAUAUGUGAACAACACGAAGUAGAUUCAUUGGGCUAUUAAUUUUUUUUAAAGAAAUGAAAUUGAGAGGAAAAUGCUUU